rnacentral:sRNA from 1 species
AAAGAGGGUUUUAGGCAAAGGCAGCUGUUCUUCAUCAUCUAUAUUAAGAAAUAGUAGUAUUGCUUUUAUGGACAUGGUUACUUCCUACAGCAGAAAGAAAGAAAGCAAACAAAACCCCGUAUAUUGUUUUGAGAUGUCUAGAAUGCAGAAGAACUGGAGAAUACUUUCUGAUUUUGUUCAGCAUUCAGGAUACUGAUGGCAUGGAAAGCUGUGUUAUCAAAGCCACACACAUGCAAACACAGACUGGAAAGAGGCUUCUUUAGGUGCAUAUGUACUCCAGGUCAAGGCCACAGAUGCAGAUGACCCGACCUAUGGAAACAGUGCCAGAGUCGUUUACAGCAUUCUUCAGGGACAACCUUAUUUCUCUAUUGAUCCCAAGACAGGUGUUAUUAGAACAGCUUUGCCAAACAUGGACAGAGAAGUCAAAGAACAAUAUCAAGUACUCAUCCAAGCCAAGGAUAUGGGAGGACAGCUUGGAGGAUUAGCCGGAACAACAAUAGUCAACAUCACUCUCACCGAUGUCAAUGACAAUCCACCUCGAUUCCCCAAAAGCAUCUUCCACUUGAAAGUUCCUGAGUCUUCCCCUAUUGGUUCAGCUAUUGGAAGAAUAAGAGCUGUGGAUCCUGAUUUUGGACAAAAUGCAGAAAUUGAAUACAAUAUUGUUCCAGGAGAUGGGGGAAAUUUGUUUGACAUCGUCACAGAUGAGGAUACACAAGAGGGAGUCAUCAAAUUGAAAAAGCCUUUAGAUUUUGAAACAAAGAAGGCAUACACUUUCAAAGUUGAGGCUUCCAACCUUCACCUUGACCACCGGUUUCACUCGGCGGGCCCUUUCAAAGACACAGCUACGGUGAAGAUCAGCGUGCUGGACGUAGAUGAGCCACCGGUUUUCAGCAAGCCGCUCUACACCAUGGAGGUUUACGAAGACACUCCGGUAGGGACCAUCAUUGGCGCUGUCACUGCUCAAGACCUGGAUGUAGGCAGCAGUGCUGUUAGGUACUUCAUAGAUUGGAAGAGUGAUGGGGACAGCUACUUUACAAUAGAUGGAAAUGAAGGAACCAUCGCCACUAAUGAAUUACUAGACAGAGAAAGCACUGCGCAGUAUAAUUUCUCCAUAAUUGCGAGUAAAGUUAGUAACCCUUUAUUGACCAGCAAAGUCAAUAUACUGAUUAAUGUCUUAGAUGUAAAUGAAUUUCCUCCAGAAAUAUCUGUGCCAUAUGAGACAGCCGUGUGUGAAAAUGCCAAGCCAGGACAGAUAAUUCAGAUAGUCAGUGCUGCAGACCGAGAUCUUUCACCUGCUGGGCAACAAUUCUCCUUUAGAUUAUCACCUGAGGCUGCUAUCAAACCAAAUUUUACAGUUCGUGACUUCAGAAACAACACAGCUGGGAUUGAAACCCGAAGAAAUGGAUACAGCCGCAGGCAGCAAGAGUUGUAUUUCCUCCCUGUUGUAAUAGAAGACAGCAGCUACCCUGUCCAGAGCAGCACAAACACAAUGACUAUUCGAGUCUGUAGAUGUGACUCUGAUGGCACCAUCCUGUCUUGUAAUGUGGAAGCAAUUUUUCUACCUGUAGGACUUAGCACUGGGGCGUUGAUUGCAAUUCUACUAUGCAUUGUUAUACUCUUAGCCAUAGUUGUACUGUAUGUAGCACUACGAAGGCAGAAGAAAAAAGACACCCUGAUGACCUCUAAAGAAGACAUCAGAGACAACGUCAUCCAUUACGAUGAUGAAGGAGGUGGGGAGGAAGAUACCCAGGCUUUCGACAUCGGGGCUCUGAGAAACCCAAAAGUGAUUGAGGAGAAUAAAAUUCGCAGGGAUAUAAAACCAGACUCUCUCUGUUUACCUCGUCAGAGACCACCCAUGGAAGAUAACACAGACAUAAGGGAUUUCAUUCAUCAAAGGCUACAGGAAAAUGAUGUGGACCCAACUGCCCCACCAUACGAUUCACUGGCCACAUAUGCCUACGAAGGGAGUGGGUCCGUGGCAGAGUCCCUCAGCUCUAUAGACUCUCUCACCACAGAAGCCGACCAGGACUAUGACUAUCUGACAGACUGGGGACCCCGCUUUAAAGUCUUGGCAGACAUGUUUGGCGAAGAAGAGAGUUAUAACCCUGAUAAAGUCACUUAAGGGAGUCGUGGAGGCUAAAAUACAACCGAGAGGGGAGAUUUU